UACGGAGGGUGCGAGCGUUGUCCGGAAUCAUUGGGCGUAAAGGGCGCGUAGGUGGCCCGGUCAGUUCGUGGUGAAAGCGCGGGGCUCAACCCUGCGUCGGCCAUGAAUACUGCCGCGGCUGGAGCACUGUAGAGGCAGGCGGAAUUCCGGGUGUAGCGGUGGAAUGCGUAGAGAUCCGGAAGAACACCGGUGGCGAAGGCGGCCUGCUGGGCAGUUGCUGACACUGAGGCGCGACAGCG
rnacentral:rRNA from 1 species